GUUGAGGCUUCUGUACAACCGUUACUUGCAAUGGCGGUUUGUAAAUGCAAGGGCAGAUGCUUCCUUCAUGUUGCAUAGACUAAAUGCAGAGAAAAUUUUGUGGAAUGUAUGGGUGACCAUCUCAGAACUACGGCACUCUGUCAUUCUUAAAAGGAUCAAGUUACUGUUGCUGAGACAAAAGUUAAAGCUAACUUCUAUCCUCAAGGGACAAGUAAGAUUUACAAACUCACUUUACUUUAAUUGACUUAUAAAUCCAUUUAGAGCUUCUAGUAAAUUGUCUCUGCUUAAAAUUCAACUAUCUAUUAGCUUUUCUAUUUGUAUUGUAGGGUUAAAUCUUCAUGUCAAAUGUGAUGAUGGAUAGAAAACAUGUUUACCUGUUGAAAAUAGUUGAAAAACAUGACUUUUGUUAUAAAGGAAAAUAGUAGAAAACAAUCUAAAGUUAUUCUUCAAAUCCUAGCUAAAAUUUUGGAAAAUGGGCACAUUUAUAAGCAAAAUCUUGUUUUCUAGUUAUUUUAAAUAACUUUUUCAGCCAGUUUACUUUGAGAGAACACAGCCUUGUUGCAUGUAAAAUUGAGAAUUAAGCAUGUCUUUUGCAUCACAUUUGAAGUAUGAAUAAAUGUUUGAAAAGAGAUAUCCAUCAA